rnacentral:rRNA from 1 species
CCUACGGGAGGCAGCAGUGGGGAAUAUUGGGCAAUGGGAGAAAUCCUGACCCAGCGACGCCGCGUGAACGAAGACGGCCUUCGGGUUGUAAAGUUCUUUUAUGUGGGAAGAAUAAAGUGACGGUACCACAUGAAUAAGCCCCGGCUAACUACGUGCCAGCAGCCGCGGUAAUACGUAGGGGGCGAGCGUUGUCCGGAAUUACUGGGCGUAAAGGGCACGCAGGCUGUGCUUCAAGUCAGCUGUAAAAGGAUGCGGCUUAACCGUGUUAUGCGGCUGAGACUGAGGUGCUGGAGUACCGGAGAGGCAAGUGGAAUUCCCAGUGUAGCGGUGAAAUGCGUAGAUAUUGGGAAGAACAUCGGUGGCGAAGGCGACUUGCUGGACGGUAACUGACGCUGAGGUGCGAAAGCCAGGGUAGCGAACGGGAUUAGAUACCCUGGUAGUC